rnacentral:rRNA from 1 species
UACGAAGGGGGCUAGCGUUGUUCGGAAUCACUGGGCGUAAAGCGCACGUAGGCGGAUGUGCCAGUCAGGGGUGAAAUCCCGGAGCUCAACUUCGGAACUGCCUCUGAUACAGCACGUCUUGAGUCCGGAAGAGGUGGGUGGAAUUCCUAGUGUAGAGGUGAAAUUCGUAGAUAUUAGGAAGAACACCGGUGGCGAAGGCGGCCCACUGGUCCGGUACUGACGCUGAGGAGCGAAAGCGUGGGUAGCGAACAGG